rnacentral:rRNA from 1 species
UACAGAGGUGCCGAGCGUUAGGCGGAAUCACUGGGCUUAAAGCGUGUGUAGGCGGAUGCCUAAGUACCUUGUGAAAUCCCACAGCUCAACUGUGGAACUGCUUGGUAUACUGGGUGUCUUGAGCCACUUAGGGGUUACCGGAACAAAUGGUGGAGCGGUGAAAUGCGUAGAUAUCAUUUGGAACGCCAAUGGUGAAAACAGGUAACUGGGAGUGUGCUGA